UACGUAGGGUGCGAGCGUUGUCCGGAAUUAUUGGGCGUAAAGAGCUCGUAGGCGGUCUGUCGCGUCUGCUGUGAAAUCCCGAGGCUCAACCUGGAGACGCCACCUGAUACUGCUGUGGCUAGAGUCCGGUAGGGGAACAAGGAAUUCCCGGUGUAGCGGUGAAAUGCUUAGAUAUCGGGAGGAACACCAGUGGCGAAGGCGGUGUUCUGGGCCGGAACUGACGCUGAGGAGCGAAAGCGUGGGUAGCAAACAGG
rnacentral:rRNA from 1 species